rnacentral:snRNA from 13 species
AUGCUUACCUGGUGCCGGUACUUCUAUGAUUCGGAAAGCGGAGACCCCAGGAUGAGACCUUUCCAUUGCACUUUGAAAAAGCUGAAACCUGUCACUUUCUCAAAUUCGGAAAUAUGGGGUAUGUAGUUUUCGGUAGGUGGUUUUCUUUUUUUUUUGGCGAAACCUG